CUCCCUGUGUGAGAACAAUAAAGUGAAUCCAACAUGGCGGUCGUCAAGUCACCGAAUGAUCCUCGAGAUUACAGGGUCAUUCAUCUUGACAAUGGCUUGACUGCCUUACUCAUCUCUGAUACCAAUACGGUAUCAUCAAGGCAACGCCAUCAUAGCAGCCACAGUAGCUCAUAUGUCAGUGACACAGAAGAAUCAGAUGAUUCUGAUGAUGAGAGUAACGAGGGGAGUGAAAUAGAAGAUGAUGAUGUUACUGAAACUAUGGGAACUAGUGAUAAUAAAUAUGAUGAUGAUGAAGAAGAAGAAGAAGAAGAAGAAGAAAACAUUAAGAAAGAGCAUGACAAAUAUAGCAAACCAGAUGCAAAACUGGCUGCCGCUGCUCUGUGUAUUGGUACUGGAAGCUUCUCUGAUCCGAAUGAGAUUCCUGGACUUGCACACUUCUUAGAACAUAUGGUUUUUAUGGGAAGUCAAAAAUAUCCUGAUGAAAAUGCAUUUGAUGCAUUCAUCAAGAAACACGGGGGGAAUUCAAAUGCAAGCACAGACUGUGAAAGGACAGUGUUUGUUUUUGAUAUUCGUCGGAAGUAUUUAAAAGAAGCACUGGACAGGUUUGCCCAGUUUUUUAUCUCUCCUUUGUUAAAAGAAGGAAGUGUUGACAGAGAAAUCCAAGCUGUUGAAAGUGAAUUCAAGCAAAGUUAUCAUAGUGAUACAGUUAAGAAGAUGCAGUUAUUACAAAGUUUAUCAAGAGAUUGUCAUCCUUAUAAGAAGUUCCUUUGGGGAAAUGAAGAAACCUUGAAAAACAUCCCCAAAGAAAAGGGUAUUGAUGUGCAGAAUCACCUCAAGUCCUACCAGAAAAGGAUGUAUUCAGCUCAGUACAUGACACUGGCUCUCUGCUCUAAAGAGUCUCUGGACACGCUUGAAGAGUGGGUGAAAGAAUUCUUUGCCGAAAUACCAAAUAACUUGCUACCCAAGCCAACUUUCCAAGAAUUUCCACCUCCGUUUGAAGACUCCUUCUUCACUAAGCUAUAUAAAGUUUUACCAGUCAAGGAUAUUAACCAAUUAGAAAUCACCUGGGUGUUGCCAUGCCAACAAGAACAUUACAGAAUCAAGCCAAUGCAUUACGUAUCAUGGCUACUAGGACACGAAGGACCAGGUAGUGUGCUUUCUUUCUUAAUCAAAAGGUCAUGGGCAGUGAGCUUGAUGUGCGGCAAUGGAGAAACUGGUAUUGAACAUAACACCAACAUGGCACUUUUUCCUUGUCUCGUCAAUUUGACUGAUGAAGGAAUGAAGCAUAUUUUCGAGAUCAUCACCAUAAUUUUCCAGUACCUUGAGAUGUUAAGACAGAUAGGACCACAACAAAGAAUUUAUGAUGAAAUACAAACUAUCGAAAAAUUGGAAUUUCUGUUUCAAGAACAGUGCGAGCCCUAUGACUACGUGGAAAACUUGGUUGAAAACAUGCAACUUUACCCAGAAGAAGACUUUCUGACGGGCGAUCAGCUGAUGUGGGAGUUUAAUCCCAAGGUGAUUUCCAAUGCCCUUGAUCUGCUUACGCCGGAUAAAGCUAACAUCGCAAUCUCUUCUAAAAGUUUUAAAGACGAGUGUAGUGAGGUUGAGCCUUGGUUCCAGACUUCUUAUAAAUCAAUCGACAUUGAUCUAGAGUGGAAAAAAGCUUGGACAAAUCUGCAGCUCAAUCCUGAACUUCACAUCCCAACUGAAAACAUCUUCAUCGCAACUGAUUUUGAGAUUAAAGAGAAAGAUGUCAAGUCACCCGAGUUUCCAGUAGUAAUACUAGACAAUGAUUUUGGUAAAGUAUGGCAUCGCAAGGACGAUAAAUUCAACACACCAAGAGCUCGAUACUACUUUCACUUAAUUUCGCCAAACGUAAACCACGUUCCUGCGAGCAUGGUUCUUACAGAAAUAUUUCUCAAAGUUCUUGAAUACAACUUGAAGGAAAUUUCCUACGCAGCAGACGUCGCUCAGCUAAGUUAUUCAAUGAAUAUUCAUGAGACAGGAAUUGUAUUAAAGCUGGAUGGAUUCAAUCAUAAACUACCUCUUUUGUUCAAGACCAUUGUAGAUUACUUCGUAAACUUUGUAGUUAAUGAACAGACGUUUAAUAUGGUCAAGAAACAAUUAACUCGAGUGUAUCGUAACAUCAUUAUCAAGCCACAGAGACUUGCAAGGUCUGUAAGGCUAAGUAUUCUACAGCUGGUCAAAUGGACAAUUGUCGACAAGAGAGGAGCUAUCGAUAAGAUUACCCUGAAGGAUGUUGAGAACUUUGCCUCGUCCUUUAAGUCUCAACUGUACGUAGAGAGUCUGAUUCAAGGGAAUGUUACUUCAGAGGAAGCCAUCUGUCUUCAGGAAUAUCUUUGUAGUAAAUUGAAUCCUUCUCCUCUUCAACUUGGUUAUCAUCCCAAGAUAAGGGUAGUAGAGCUACCGUGUACGGAGAGUAUUUGUCGUAUUGCAGGCUUCAAUAAGGAUGAUACCAACACUGUAGUUACUAACUAUUAUCAGUCUGGACCAGCUUCAGUAGAAGACUUUGCAGUGAUGGAAUUACUUAUCAUGAAGAUGGAAGAGCCUUGCUUUGAUAUAUUGAGAACUAGAGAACAACUAGGGUAUUCAGUAUUUUGUGCUUGCCGUAACACAUUUGGUAUCAUCGGCUUUUCUGUAACCGUCCAAUCCCAGGCAGAGAAAUUCAGUGUGACCCACAUUCAGUCCCGUAUCGAUUCUUUUCUGGAGGAAUUCAAAGGCAUCCUAGAGACGACUAAAGACAAGGACUUCCAAAGUCAGGUUGAUUCGUUAAUCGAACUCAAACAACACGAGGAUCUCAGUCUCGCAGACGAAACAAACAAAAACUGGUACGAAGUGCUGGACCAGACAUACCUAUUCGAUCGCAACAAGAGAGAGAUCGAAGCAUUGAGGAAACUAACAAAGGAAGAUGUCAUACAGUGUUAUAAAAGUCACAUGAAAAAUGGCGACAAGUACAAAAAACUAAGCAUCCAGAUCGUAGGGUCUGGAGACUCCGAGGUUUACGGUAGUAACAUCACUGAUGGUUUGAAAGAAAAUCUACAAGAUGGGCUACCUGAGGAAAGUGAUGACGAGGGUUGCAAAGAGGAAUGGGUUUUGAGACCACUACAUGUAGUGAAAGAAGAAAGUAUCUGUAUUCUGGACACAGCGGAUUUUAAGCGAACGAGACCUGUUUAUCCUGUUUCACAAAUCAAUUAAUUCUUGGAGUUCAUGUGACGUCAUAGCCGCCAUUUUGGUUGACUUUGACAAAAGAUUUGUGGUAGUUCGUUCAUGUUCUAGAAAAACAUAGAACGACAAUAUACAAGACAAGACAAUGCAUACAAUAUGAAAAAAUACACUACUCUACUAUUGAUGGUUUUCACGGCGGCCAUGUUGGAGGUACUUAACAAAAGAAUUGUCAAUGAAUUAUUUUGUUAUAUCCUCCAACAUGGCCGCCGUGUCUUUUGUUAUUUAAUUCCCUUGGGAAUGGUUGAAAACCAUCAAUACAUUGUAUUCCACUAGAACAUGAACUUGUCUGAAGCAGAUUGGUCUUUGGUUAUACUAACCAACAUGGUGGCCGCGUCUUUUUCCCUUUCAUACAUAUUCUAUUGGGAAGGGACGCGCUUGACCAAUAGAGCCGAGGGAAAGACCGCUUGCCCUUCCUCUGCUUUUCGCAGCACCACAGACCACCCGCGAGCAACGCUGGCUAGGAAAAUCAAUAAUUGGUCUCUAAAUAGGUGUAUAUAGGCUAAAUAGGUGGGUUUUUUCCUUUUUCCAUCUGGCAAUUGCAGCACUUUAUUAAUUAGUUUAUUGCGUGUUUAUUUAUUUAUUAUUUUUUGCUUUGCUUCUUUAGUCUAGGUUGGUUUUUUCCUGGUUCUGCAAAACCUUGGAAUGCUAUAUCACUUUUCAAGAUGGCUAAGUUUGUUGCAUCCACCCAGCAAGACCUCUGAUUACGGCCCUCUAUCGUAUCAGUGAAACAGAAAUAAAUGAACGAAUAUUUUGAGA
rnacentral:misc_RNA from 1 species